rnacentral:rRNA from 1 species
UACGUAGGGUGCGAGCGUUGUCCGGAAUUAUUGGGCGUAAAGAGCUCGUAGGUGGUUCGGUAAGUCGGAUGUGAAAUCUCCAGGCUCAACCUGGAGGGGUCAUUCGAUACUGCCGUGACUAGAGUUCGGUAGAGGAGUGUGGAAUUCCUGGUGUAGCGGUGAAAUGCGCAGAUAUCAGGAAGAACACCCGUGGCGAAAGCGGCUCUCUGGAACGGUACUGACGCUGAGACGCGAAAGCGUGGGGAGCGAACAGG